rnacentral:rRNA from 1 species
GACGAACGCUGGCGGCGUGCUUAACACAUGCAAGUCGAACGGAAAGGCCCUGCUUUUGUGGGGUGCUCGAGUGGCGAACGGGUGAGUAACACGUGAGUAACCUGCCCUUGACUUUGGGAUAACUUCAGGAAACUGGGGCUAAUACCGGAUAGGAGCUCCUGCUGCAUGGUGGGGGUUGGAAAGUUUCGGCGGUUGGGGAUGGACUCGCGGCUUAUCAGCUUGUUGGUGGGGUAGUGGCUUACCAAGGCUUUGACGGGUAGCCGGCCUGAGAGGGUGACCGGCAAAAUGGGGAAUGAGAUACGGCCAAGACUCCUAGGGGAGGCAGCAGGGGGGAAUAUUGCACAAUGGGCGGAAGCCUGAUGCAGCGACGCCGCGUGCGGGAUGACGGCCUUCGGGUUGUAAACCGCUUUGGCCUGGGAAGAAGGGUGAGGGACGGUAAUGGGAAAGAAAGCACCGGCUAACUACGUG